CCUACGGGAGACAGCAGUGAGGAAUAUUGGUCAAUGGGCGCGAGCCUGAACCAGCCAAGUAGCGUGAAGGAUGACUGCCCUACGGGUUGUAAACUUCUUUUAUAAAGGAAUAAAGUGAGGCACGUGUGCCUUUUUGUAUGUACUUUAUGAAUAAGGAUCGGCUAACUCCGUGCCAGCAGCCGCGGGAAUACGGAGGAUCCGAGCGUUAUCCGGAUUUAUUGGGUUUAAAGGGAGCGUAGGUGGGUUUUUAAGUCCGUUGUGAAAGUUUGCGGCUCAACCGUCAAAUUGCAAUUGAUACUGGCAGCCUUGAGUACAGUUGAGGUAGGCGGAAUUCGUGUUGUAGCGGUGAAAUGCUUAGCUCUCACGCAGAACUCCGAUUGCGAAGGCAGCUUACUAAACUGCCACUGACAUUGAUGCUCGAAAGUGUGGGUAUCAAACAGGAUUAGAUACCCUUGUAGUC
rnacentral:rRNA from 1 species